ACUUUUACCUACCUGCUGAACAAAAAGAUGUUUGUCAGCAGUAAGGCAUAUUUUUUGGAAAAAAAUUCCUUAGUGAAGGAAUAAGUGCCUUCAAAAUUGAGCUUGAUGAAGUUCGAUAGGUAGAAGAACCGACACCAAUGAUUGAAUCUGAACUGAAUUUGAUGAGAUCAAAUCUGCAGCCCAAUGAACAAACAUCCUUAAGGCAACUGGUAGAGUACCGCAUC
rnacentral:lncRNA from 1 species